GAUGAACGCUGGCGGCGUGCCUAAUACAUGCAAGUCGAGCGAACAGACGAGGAUCUUGCUCCUCUGACGUUAGCGGCGGACGGGUGAGUAACACGUGGAUAACCUACCUAUAAGACUGGGAUAACUUCGGGAAACCGGAUCUAAUACCGGAUAAUAUAUUGAACCGCAGGGUUCAAUAGUGAAAGACGGUUUUGCUGUCACUUAUAGAUGGAUCCGCGCCGCAUUAGCUAGUUGGUAAGGUAACGGCUUACCAAGGCAACGAUGCGUAGCCGACCUGAGAGGGGGAUCGGCCACACUGGAACUGAGACACGGUCCAGACUCCUACGGGAGGCAGCAGUAGGGAAUCUUCCGCAAUGGGCGAAAGCCUGACGGAGCAACGCCGCGUGAGUGAUGAAGGUCUUCGGAUCGUAAAACUCUGUUAUUAGGGAAGAACAAAUGUGUAAGUAAAUAUGCACGUCUUGACGGUACCUAAUCAGAAAGCAACGGCUAACUACGUG
rnacentral:rRNA from 1 species